CAGGCCUAACACAUGCAAGUCGAGGGGCAGCAUGAUCGAAGCUUGCUUUGAUUGAUGGCGACCGGCGCACGGGUGAGUAACGCGUAUCCAACCUUCCCUAUAGUAGAGAAUAGCCCGGCGAAAGUCGGAUUAAUGCUCUAUGUUGUAUUUAGAAGACAUCUGAAGAAUACCAAAGGUUUACCGCUAUAGGAUGGGGAUGCGUCUGAUUAGGUAGUAGGCGGGGUAACGGCCCACCUAGCCGACGAUCAGUAGGGGUUCUGAGAGGAAGGUCCCCCACAUUGGAACUGAGACACGGUCCAAACUCCUACGGGAGGCAGCAGUGAGGAAUAUUGGUCAAUGGACGGAAGUCUGAACCAGCCAAGUAGCGUGCAGGAUGACGGCCCUAUGGGUUGUAAACUGCUUUUAUAUAGGGAUAAAGUCGGGGACGUGUCCCCGUUUGUAGGUACUAUAUGAAUAAGGACCGGCUAAUUCCGUGCCAGCAGCCGCGGUAAUACGGAGGAUGCGAGCGUUAUCCGGAUUUAUUGGGUUUAAAGGGUGCGCAGGCGGGCGAUUAAGUCAGCGGUGAAAGGCUCGGGCUCAACCGGAGCAGUGCCGUUGAUACUGGUUGUCUUGAAUGCGGUCAAGGCCGGCGGAAUGUGGCGUGUAGCGGUGAAAUGCAUAGAUAUGCCACAGAACACCGAUAGCGAAGGCAGCUGGCCGGGCCUGCAUUGACGCUCAGGCACGAAAGCGUGGGGAUCGAACAGGAUUAGAUACCCUGGUAGUCCACGCUGUAAACGAUGGACACUCGUUGUCGGCGACAGACAGUCGGCGGCCAAGCGAAAGUGAUAAGUGUCCCACCUGGGGAGUACGGUCGCAAGGCUGAAACUCAAAGGAAUUGACGGGGGCCCGCACAAGCGGUGGAGCAUGUGGUUUAAUUCGAUGAUACGCGAGGAACCUUACCCGGGUUAGAACGCAGGACGGCGGACACAGAGAUGUGAACUCCCUUCGGGGCGUCCUGUGAGGUGCUGCAUGGUUGUCGUCAGCUCGUGCCGUGAGGUGUCAGGUUAAGUCCUAUAACGAGCGCAACCCCUACCCCCAGUUGCCAUCGGUUCGGCCGGGCACUCUGAGGGAACUGCCCACGCAAGUGGAGAGGAAGGCGGGGAUGACGUCAAAUCAGCACGGCCCUUACGUCCGGGGCGACACACGUGCUACAAUGGCCGGCACAGAGGGCAGCCACCUGGUGACAGGGAGCGAAUCCCGAAAGCCGGUCUCAGUCCGGAUCGGAGUCUGCAACCCGACCCCAUGAAGCUGGAUUCGCUAGUAAUCGCGCAUCAGCCAUGGCGCGGUGAAUACGUUCCCSY
rnacentral:rRNA from 1 species